UAAUACGAAGGGGGCAAGCGUUGUUCGGAAUUACUGGGCGUAAAGGGCGCGCAGGCGGCAUACGUAGUCAGGCGUGAAAGCCCCGGGCUUAACCUGGGAAUUGCGUUUGAUACUCGUAAGCUAGAGUUCGGGAGAGGUUGGUGGAAUUCCCAGUGUAGAGGUGAAAUUCGUAGAUAUUGGGAAGAACACCGGUGGCGAAGGCGGCCAACUGGACCGAAACUGACGCUGAGGCGCGAAAGCGUGGGGAGCAAACAGGAUUAGAUACCCUGGUAGUCCACGCCGUAAACGAUGUGUGCUAGACGUUGGCAGGCCUAGCUUGCCAGUGUCGAAGCUAACGCAGUAAGCACACCGCCUGGGGAGUACGGUCGCAAGAUUA
rnacentral:rRNA from 1 species